GUUUCCGUGGUGUAGUGGCUAUCACGUGUAAUUCACACGCACAAGGUCCUCGGUUCGAUCCCGAGCGGAAACA